GAAAUGCGAUAAGUAAUGUGAAUUGCAGAAUUCAGUGAAACAUCGAAUCUUUGAACGCACCUUGCGCUCCUUGGUAUUCCUUGGAGCAUGCCUGUUUGAGUAUCAUGAAAUCUUCAAAGUAAAUCUUUUGUUAACUCAAUUGGUUUCUACUUUGGUAUUGGAGGUCUUUGCAGCUUCACACCUGCUCCUCUUUGUUCAUUAGCUGGAUCUCAGUGUUAUGCUUGGUUCCACUCGGCGUGAUAAGUUAUCUAUCGCUGAGGACACUGUAAAAGGUGGCCAAGGUAAAUGCAGAUGAACCGCUUCUAAUAGUCCAUUGACUUGGACAAUACUUUUAUGAUCUGAUCUCAAAUCAGGUAGGACUACCCGCUGAACUUAAGC
rnacentral:misc_RNA from 1 species